AUAGAAGAAAAAUAGGAGCGCUCUGUGUUCGCCAUCCGAUAAGAGACGAUAAAAGUUUAUAUAAGUCGCGUAUCUCACUCGGUAGCGAGGCAAUAAAGCUCGCACGUAGAGAAAUAGGUUCACGUACCUGUACAUAUACGUAUAAGUGGAGCAACGCAACGGAAAGUUGAUGCAGUUGCAGGAAGGAGGUUGAGAAGAGAGUAUGAAGCCCACGGUGAUUGUUAAGAACGAUGCAACUGUAGCUAUAGUUCGGUAAAAAAAAUUUAAGAGGAUCUGGAAAUGGAGUUGACGAAAGUGGCGUCUUGACUCCAUAUAGAUUACUUAAAUGGGGUUGGGGCGCCUACUCCUCCAGAUCCUGCAUAGGUGAGUUUUACGAUCGCUCGUAAACCGAUAGUUUUAAAUUUCUGUAGUAUUCUCUGUUUCAAUAUUAUUUUUAUCUCGAUCAAAAGAUGUCCCGAGGAAUCAAGAAAGAGAUCAAGGAAAAUAAAGAAAAGUCUCGUGUAAAGUCUCAUUACCAUUUUUCUUAACGUAUGAUUAUCGACUUGGAAGGAUAAAAACAGGAGUGCAAAAUGCAAACGAUCGGAGAUAGGCUAAAGAGCCAAGUUUAGUAUGUAAGGCUCGAAAGGAGAAAAACCCUGUAAUUACGACGUUUCUUCACUUAUAAAGUAUUGAAUUGAUAGCGCAAGUUGCUCGUCUUUAAUUAUAAGCAAAAUGAUGAUUAUCGGUUUAAAAUAGGUGCGUCCCUAAAAUUCACCGAGGAAUUCGAUCGUUAUCCAUAGGAAGCAUAAGGCAAGGAUUAAAUGCGAAGACAAUUUUUUGAGUUCAUAAAAAUCAUUAAGGCUUAUAUGACUGUAAAGUAGACGCACUGGUUGCGGCCACUUUAAGGAUUUUUAUGGUUGCAAUAAACACGAAAACAGGUGCAAUAAAAAAGGUAAAGCAGGA